rnacentral:snoRNA from 1 species
AUAUAAUGAUGAUACGAUGACGAGUCUGAACUGCAUAUGAAUUUGGGUUUGUUGAUGAUUGUUGCCACGUUCUGUGGUACUGCUUCACUUCCCAUUGGAAGUUGUUGGUUUUAAGAUGUUUUUGAGGCAUUUGUCUGAAUAAC